rnacentral:rRNA from 1 species
GACGAACGCUGGCGGCGUGCUUAACACAUGCAAGUCGAACGCUGAAGCUUGGUGCUUGCACUGGGUGGAUGAGUGGCGAACGGGUGAGUAAUACGUGAGUAACCUGCCCUUGACUCUGGGAUAAGCCUGGGAAACUGGGUCUAAUACUGGAUACGACAUGCCACUGCAUGGUGGUGUGUGGAAAGGGUUUUACUGGUUUUGGAUGGGCUCACGGCCUAUCAGCUUGUUGGUGGGGUAAUGGCCUACCAAGGCGACGACGGGUAGCCGGCCUGAGAGGGUGACCAGGCACACUGGGACUGAGACACGGCCCAGACUCCUACGGGAGGCAGCAGUGGGGAAUAUUGCACAGUGGGCGGAAGCCUGAUGAAGCGACGCCGCGUGAGGGAUGACGGCCUUCGGGGUGUAAACCUCUUUCAGCACGGAAGAAGCGAGAGUGACGGUACGUGCAGAAGAAGCGCCGGCUAACUACGUG